rnacentral:rRNA from 1 species
GAUUAACGCUAGCGGCAGGCCUAAUACAUGCAAGUCGAACGGCAGCACGGAUAGCAAUAUCUGGUGGCGAGUGGCGCACGGGUGCGUAACACGUAUGCAAUCUACCCUUAACUGGGGGAUAGCCCCGAGGAAUCGGGAUUAAUACCCCAUAACAUUGCGAUGAGGCAUCUCAUUGCACUUAAAGAUCCGGAGGGUUUGUAUGAGCAUGCGCGACAUUAGUUAGUUGGUGAGGUAACGGCUCCCCAAGACUUCGAUGUCUAGGUGGUCUGAGAGGAUGCACCCCCACACUGGUACUGAGACACGGACCAGACUCCUACGGGAGGCAGCAGUAAGGAAUAUUGGUCAAUGGGCGCAAGCCUGAACCAGCCAUGCCGCGUGAAGGAUGACGGCCCUACGGGUUGUAAACUUCUUUUGUACGGGAAAAAACCACCGGUCGUGAACCGGUGCUGAUGGUACCGUAAGAAUAAGCAUCGGCCAACUCCGUGCCAGCCGCCGCGGUAA